rnacentral:rRNA from 1 species
UUGAUGAUCGGUGCUUGCACCGAGAUUCAACAUGGAACGAGUGGCGGACGGGUGAGUAACACGUGGGUAACCUGCCCUUAAGUGGGGGAUAACAUUUGGAAACAGAUGCUAAUACCGCAUAGAUCCAAGAACCGCAUGGUUCUUGGCUGAAAGAUGGCGUAAGCUAUCGCUUUUGGAUGGACCCGCGGCGUAUUAGCUAGUUGGUGAGGUAAUGGCUCACCAAGGCGAUGAUACGUAGCCGAACUGAGAGGUUGAUCGGCCACAUUGGGACUGAGACACGGCCCAAACUCCUACGGGAGGCAGCAGUAGGGAAUCUUCCACAAUGGACGCAAGUCUGAUGGAGCAACGCCGCGUGAGUGAAGAAGGCUUUCGGGUCGUAAAACUCUGUUGUUGGAGAAGAAUGGUCGGCAGAGUAACUGUUGUCGGCGUGACGGUAUCCAACCAGAAAGCCACGGCUAACUACGUGCCAGCAGCCGCGGUAAUACGUAGGUGGCAAGCGUUAUCCGGAUUUAUUGGGCGUAAAGCGAGCGCAGGCGGUUUUUUAAGUCUGAUGUGAAAGCCCUCGGCUUAACCGAGGAAGCGCAUCGGAAACUGGGAAACUUGAGUGCAGAAGAGGACAGUGGAACUCCAUGUGUAGCGGUGAAAUGCGUAGAUAUAUGGAAGAACACCAGUG